rnacentral:rRNA from 1 species
UACUGAGUUUACGCUCUAUAACCCUUUGUGAACAUACCUAUAACUGUUGCUUCGGCGGGUAGGGUCUCCGUGACCCUCCCGGCCUCCCGCCCCCGGGCGGGUCGGCGCCCGCCGGAGGAUAACCAAACUCUGAUUUAACGACGUUUCUUCUGAGUGGUACAAGCAAAUAAUCAAAACUUUUAACAACGGAUCUCUUGGUUCUGGCAUCGAUGAAGAACGCAGCGAAAUGCGAUAAGUAAUGUGAAUUGCAGAAUUCAGUGAAUCAUCGAAUCUUUGAACGCACAUUGCGCCCGCCAGCAUUCUGGCGGGCAUGCCUGUUCGAGCGUCAUUUCAACCCUCAAGCUCUGCUUGGUGUUGGGGCCCUACAGCUGAUGUAGGCCCUCAAAGGUAGUGGCGGACCCUCCCGGAGCCUCCUUUGCGUAGUAACUUUACGUCUCGCACUGGGACCCGGAGGGACUCUUGCCGUAAAACCCCCAAUUUUCCAAAGGUUGACCUCGGAUCAGGUAGGAAUACCCGCUGAACUUAAGCAUAUCAAUAAGCGGAGGAAAA